rnacentral:rRNA from 1 species
AUUGAACGCUGGCGGCAGGCCUAACACAUGCAAGUCGAACGAGUGGCGGACGGGUGAGUAUUGUCUGGGAAACUGCCUGAUGGAGGGGGAUAACUACUGGAAACGGUAGCUAAUACCGCAUACCAUCGGAUGUCCCCAGAUGGGAUUAGCUAGUAGGUGGGGUAACGGCUCACCUAGGCGACGAUCCCGAGCUGGUCUGAUAGGAUGAGCAGUGACACUGGAACUGAGCCACGGUCCAGACGCCUACGGGAGGCAGCAGUGGGGAACAGUGCACAAUGGGCGCAAGCCUGAUGCAGCCAUGCCGGGUGUAUGAAGAAGGCCUUCUGGUUGUAAAGUACUUUCAGCGGGGAGGCGUUACCCGCUGAAGAGGCACCGGCUAACUCCGUGCCAGCAGCCGCGGUAAUUC